GUCGGGGCACCGCCGAGUCCGCGAUCCUCGCGGAGCCGGGGAACCAGGUUCGUCGGCGUCACCCGCCGUCUUCACGACGCGGGGGCGCCAGGGGUGAAUCGGUCGGCGUCGGCGCGCUCCCCAACGGGCGCGUGCGGCGCCGCCGUAGGGCUACUUCUUCGGCCCGAAUCCGUCAGCUAACCCGGUAGGCGGACGAGGAGGAGAU
rnacentral:sRNA from 2 species